rnacentral:rRNA from 1 species
GUAGGGAAUCUUCCACAAUGGACGAAAGUCUGAUGGAGCAACGCCGCGUGAGUGAAGAAGGUCUUCGGAUCGUAAAACUCUGUUGUUAGAGAAGAACGUGCAUGAUAGUAACUGAUCAUGUAAUGACGGUAUCUAACCAGAAAGCCACGGCUAACUACGUGCCAGCAGCCGCGGUAAUACGUAGGUGGCAAGCGUUGUCCGGAUUUAUUGGGCGUAAAGGGAACGCAGGCGGUUUUUUAAGUCUGAUGUGAAAGCCUUCGGCUUAACCGAAGAAUAGCAUUGGAAACUGGAAGACUUGAGUGCAGAAGAGGAGAGUGGAAUUCCAUGUGUAGCGGUGAAAUGCGUAGAGAUUUGGAAGAACACCAGUGGCGAAGGCGACUUUCUGGACGAUGUCUGACGCUGAGGCGCGAAAGCUAGGGGAGCGAACGGGAUUAGAAACCCUGGUAGUCC